GUGGAGGCGAGCUGCUGACGCCGGCUGUGCUGAAAGCCGACUCUAACCGAGCAAAGGGGAGAGCUGGCUGGCCGUGGCCAGCACGACUCACUGCAGCCCCGGGUUUAUCUACAAGGUGGAUCGGAGGCAGGUGAAAGCUUGGGCUGGAUCUGCAAGCCCUGUGACCACGGCCAGUGCUACAACGGCUGGUUUGAGGCAGGAUAAGGACAAGGUCUAGCCAGUGUCCGAGCCCCACUUUGCCCCGAACUUCCCACCACUGACAUCAAGCCUGUGCUGAAGAAACCUUGGGAAAUACCAGCAGCUCCCGGAGUCCUGUGAUCACUGCUGAGUUUCAGACCAGGAGGACCUUCAGAGCCAUCCUCACCGGAGGGCACAGAGUUGGGGAAAAUAAGUCUUUAAAGGCUCCAAACUCAGGCAGUUCAUUAAAAAAUAAAUAAAACGCCUUCAACAUUUCA